rnacentral:misc_RNA from 1 species
AACGCACAUUGCGCCCCUUGGUAUUCCAUGGGGCAUGCCUGUUCGAGCGUCAUUUACACCCUCAAGCUCUGCUUGGUGUUGGGCGUCUGUCCCGCCUUUUGUGCGUGGACUCGCCCCAAAGGCAUUGGCAGCGGUCUUGCCAGCUUCUCGCGCAGCACUUUGCGCUUCUUGAAGCAACUGGCAGAUUUCAGCAACCAUCAAGCCCCAUUUUUUCAACUUGACCUCGGAUCAGGUAGGGAUACCCGCUGAACUUAA